rnacentral:rRNA from 1 species
AGUGAACGCUGGCGGUAGGCCUAACACAUGCAAGUCGAACGGCAGCACAGUAAGAGCUUGCUCUUACGGGUGGCGAGUGGCGGACGGGUGAGGAAUACAUCGAAAUCUACUUUUUCGUGGGGGAUAACGUAGGGAAACUUACGCUAAUACCGCAUACGACCUACGGGUGAAAGCAGGGGAUCUUCGGACCUUGCGCGAUUGAAUGAGCCGAUGUCGGAUUAGCUAGUUGGCGGGGUAAAGGCCCACCAAGGCGACGAUCCGUAGCUGGUCUGAGAGGAUGAUCAGCCACACUGGAACUGAGACACGGUCCAGACUCCUACGGGAGGCAGCAGUAGGGAAUAUUGGACAAUGGGCGCAAGCCUGAUCCAGCCAUACCGCGUGGGUGAAGAAGGCCUUCGGGUUGUAAAGCCCUUUUGUUGGGAAAGAAAGGCAGCAGGUUAAUACCCCGCUGUUCUGACGGUACCCAAAGAAUAAGCACCGGCUAACUUCGUG